GACGAACCGUGCGAACGUUGUUCGGAAUCACUGGGCUUAAAGGGCGCGUAGGCGGGCACAAAAGUCAGAGGGGAAAGCCCCCGGCUCAACCGGGGAAGUGCCUUUGAUACUGUGUGCCUCGAGGGGGAUAGGGGCGUGCGGAACUUCCGGUGGAGCGGUGAAAUGCGUAGAUAUCGGAAGGAACACCGGUGGCGAAAGCGGCGCGCUGGAUCCCUUCUGACGCUGAGGCGCGAAAGCCAGGGGAGCGAACGGG
rnacentral:rRNA from 1 species